rnacentral:rRNA from 1 species
UACGGGGGGGGCAAGCGUUGUUCGGAUUUACUGGGCGUAAAGGGCGCGUAGGCGGCUUAACAAGUCACUUGUGAAAUCUCCGGGCUUAACUCGGAACGGCCAAGUGAAACUGUCAAGCUAGAGUGCAGAAGGGGCAAUCGGAAUUCUUGGUGUAGCGGUGAAAUGCGUAGAUAUCAAGAGGAACACCUGAGGUGAAGACGGGUUGCUGGGCUGACACUGACGCUGAGGCGCGAAAGCCAGGGGAGCAAACGGG